GACGGAAGGUGCAAGCGUUGCUCGGAAUCACUGGGCGUAAAGGGCGCGUAGGCGGCCGCGCAAGUCAGGCGUGAAAGCCCCGGGCUCAGCCCGGGAAGGGCGCUCGAAACGGCGCGGCUCGAGUGCCGGAGGGGAGAGUGGAAUUCCUGGUGUAGCGGUGAAAUGCGUAGAUAUCAGGAGGAAUACCGGUGGCGAAAGCGACGCUCUGGACGGGAACUGACGCUGAGGCACGAAAGCGUGGGGAGCAAACAGG
rnacentral:rRNA from 1 species